rnacentral:rRNA from 1 species
GUGAGGAAUAUUGCGCAAUGGAGGCAACUCUGACGCAGCCAUGCCGCGUGCAGGAAGAAGGCGCUACGCGUUGUAAACUGCUUUUAACCGGGAAGAAACCCCAGGACGUGUCCUGGGUUGACGGUACCGGAGGAAUAAGCACCGGCUAACUACGUGCCAGCAGCCGCGGUAAUACGAAGGGUGCAAGCGUUAUCCGGAUUCAUUGGGUUUAAAGGGUGCGUAGGCGGAGCGUUAAGUCAGUGGUGAAAUCCUGCAGCUUAACUGUAGACUUGCCAUUGAUACUGGCGCUCUUGAGUGCGCUUGAAGUGGGCGGAAUGUGCCGUGUAGCGGUGAAAUGCUUAGAUAUGGCACAGAACACCAAUUGCGAAGGCAGCUCACUAAGGCGAUACUGACGCUGAGGCACGAAAGCGUGGGGAUCGAACAGGAUUAGAAACCCGUGUAGUCC